GCUCCUCCUCUCUGGAAAUAACCUCACAAACCCCUCCAGAGGUGUGACUUACCAUCUCCUACAUGAACUGAAAUCCAGGAUUCCAGGGUAGAUUGAAGACCAGAAGAGCUCCAGGAAUUCUUUCAGGACUCCAGCAGCAGAUUUGGGCUGCAGAGACAUCCAGCCACUGGACCUGAAAAACUAUUGGAUUCUUAGCUAUUCUGUAGUGAGAUAGCCAGCCAUCGUUGGGCUACUCUGUCCACAGAAGGUA
rnacentral:lncRNA from 1 species